UGAAUUUAUUAUUUUUAAUUAAUUUAAUUUUAUAUUUUUAUUUUUAUAGAUUUUUCAAGAUUUCACUUAUACACAAGUAAUAAUGAAGUAUUUACUAUUAAAAAUUUUACUUAAUGAUCUCAACAUCUGAAAAAGAUUAUUCGGUACCUUUCCCUUGUCUCGAGAAGCUUUACACGUUUCUUCCAAAUCUGCUACGAGAUUGCUCGACAUUUGACGGACUUUUUUUGGAUCAGCACCAAGAACCAUUUUUUGAAUAACACCGCGAUCGGUGUACAAGGCACAGAAGGGCGCAUCCGCGUUUAAUUC